GGCCUUAUGGUCUGGUAAUUGGAAUGAGUACAAUUUAAAUCCCUUAACGAGGAUCAAUUGGAGGGCGAGUCUGGUGCCAGCAGCCGCGGUAAUUCCAGCUCCAAUAGCGUAUAUUAAAGUUGUUGCAGUUAAAAAGCUCGUAGUUGAAUUUCUGGUACGGUGCGCCUGGCCCGCUGCCGCAAGGUACGCGAGUGUCGGUGUGCGUCUGCCAUCUUUGUAGGGAAACUCCUCUUUACUGGGGCGUGGAACUACAUCUUUUACUUUGAAAAAAUUAGAGUGUUUAAAGCAGGCUUGCGCUAUGAAUACAUUANCAUGGAAUAAUAAUUUAGGACUUCGUUUCUAUUUUGUUGGUUUCUAGGGAUGAAGUAAUGAUUGAUAGGGAUAGUUGGGGGUGCUAGUAUUCAUCGGCCAGAGGUGAAAUUCUUGGAUUCGAUGAGGACUAACUUAUGCGAAAGCAUUCACCAAGGAUGUCUUCUUUAAUCAAGAACGAAAGUUGGGGGAUCGAAGACGAUCAGAUACCGUCGUAGUCUCAACCAUAAACUAUACCGACUAGGGAUUGGUGGAAGUUGCCUUUUCGACUCCAUCAGCACCUUAUGAGAAAUCAGAAGUCUUUGGGUUCUGGGGGGAGUAUGGUCGCAAGGCUGAAACUUAAAGGAAUUGACGGAAGGGCA
rnacentral:rRNA from 1 species